CUUUCCUGAUGAUUGAUGCCAUGAGGGAGGCCUUGAACAGAUCCAAGGCUCUCUUGCCAAAUGGCAUGGCUCUCACAGUGAUUGUUUAGGAGUCUGGAGUGAGUUUUGAGGGAGAGAUUGUUUGUAGACUGUCAUAUAUCGACAAGGCUCCCUUCGGCGCAUGAGAUUUGUCAGAGUUGAUGGCCGUUGGGCCAAAGGCCGUGCAGCUGCA
rnacentral:lncRNA from 1 species